GUUUUCGUGGUGUAGUGGUCAGUACACUCGGCGCGUGUUUGAGAGGUCCGUGGUUCGAGUCCUGGCGAAGGCA
rnacentral:tRNA from 1 species